rnacentral:rRNA from 1 species
UACGUAGGGUGCGAGCGUUGUCCGGAAUUAUUGGGCGUAAAGAGCUUGUAGGCGGUUUGUCGCGUCUGCUGUGAAAAUCCGGGGCUCAACCCCGGACUUGCAGUGGGUACGGGCAGACUAGAGUGUGGUAGGGGAGACUGGAAUUCCUGGUGUAGCGGUGAAAUGCGCAGAUAUCAGGAGGAACACCGAUGGCGAAGGCAGGUCUCUGGGCCACUACUGACGCUGAGAAGCGAAAGCAUGGGGAGCGAACAGGAUUAGAUACCCUGGUAGUCCAUGCCGUAAACGUUGGGAACUAGGUGUGGGUCUCAUUCCACGAGAUCCGUGCCGCAGCUAACGCAUUAAGUUCCCCGCCUGGGGAGUACGGCCGCAAGGCUAAAACUCAAAGGAAUUGACGGGGGCCCGCACAAGCGGCGGAGCAUGCGGAUUAAUUCGAUGCAACGCGAAGAACCUUACCAAGGCUUGACAUAUACCGGAAACUUCCAGAGAUGGUUGCCCCUUUUAGGUCGGUAUACAGGUGGUGCAUGGUUGUCGUCAGCUCGUGUCGUGAGAUGUUGGGUUAAGUCCCGCAACGAGCGCAACCCUCGUUCUAUGUUGCCAGCACGUAAUGGUGGGGACUCAUGGAAGACUGCCGGGGUCAACUCGGAGGAAGGUGGGGAUGACGUCAAAUCAUCAUGCCCCUUAUGUCUUGGGCUUCACGCAUGCUACAAUGGCCGGUACAAAGGGCUGCGAUACCGCAAGGUGGAGCGAAUCCCAAAAAACCGGUCUCAGUUCGGAUUGGGGUCUGCAACUCGACCCCAUGAAGUCGGAGUCGCUAGUAAUCGCAGAUCAGCGACGCUGCGGUGAAUACGUUCCCGGGCCU